AGCGAACGCUGGCGGCAGGCUUAACACAUGCAAGUCGAACGAUCCUUCGGGAUAGUGGCGGACGGGUGAGUAACACGUGGGAACGUGCCUUUAGGUUCGGAAUAACACAGGGAAACUUGUGCUAAUACCGGAUAAGCCCUUGGGGAAGAUUAUCGCUUUAGAGCGGCCCGCGUCUGAUUAGCUUGUUGGUGGGGUAAAGGCUCACCAAGGCUACGAUCAGUAGCUGGUCUGAGAGGAUGGCCAGCCACAUUGGGACUGAGAC
rnacentral:rRNA from 1 species